rnacentral:rRNA from 1 species
UGCCAGCCGCCGCGGUAAUACGGAGGGUGCAAUCGUUAAUCGGAAUUACUGGGCGUAAAGCGCGCGUCGGCGGUUGUCUAAGCUAGAUGUGCACAGCCCUGGGCUUAACCUGGGAACUGCAUUUAGAACUGGGCAGCUAGAGUACAGCAGAGGAGUGUGGAAUUUCAGGUGUAGCGGUGAAAUGCGUAGAGAUCUGAAGGAACAUCAGUGGCGAAGGCGACACUCUGGGUUGAUACUGACGCUGAUGUGCGACAGCGUGGGGAGCAAACAUGAUUAGAUA